rnacentral:rRNA from 1 species
CACGUAGGCGGCCUGGUAAGUCAGAUGUGAAAGCCCUGGGCUUAACCCGGGAAGUGCAUUUGAUACAGUCAGGCUUGAGUAUGGGAGAGGGAAGUGGAAUUCCUGGUGUAGAGGUGAAAUUCGUAGAUAUCAGGAGGAACACCGGUGGCGAAGGCGACUUCCUGGACCAAUACUGACGCUGAGGUGCGAAGGCGUGGGUAGCAAACAGGAUUAGAUACCCUGGUAGUCC